rnacentral:rRNA from 1 species
GAGUGAUCGAAAGAUGAAAAGCACUUUGAAAAGAGAGUUAAACAGCACGUGAAAUUGUUGAAAGGGAAGCGUUUGCGACCAGACUCGCCCGCGGGGUUCAGCCGGCACUCGUGCCGGUGUACUUCCCCGUGGGCGGGCCAGCGUCGGUUUGGGCGGCCGGUCAAAGGCCCUCGGAAUGUAUCACCUCUCGGGGUGUCUUAUAGCCGAGGGUGCAAUGCGGCCUGCCCGGACCGAGGAACGCGYUCGG